AGUCUUAUAGUCAAAAAUGAUAUUAAAUUGCAAAUUUAAAGUUGGUUAAUAACCUAAGGCUU
rnacentral:tRNA from 1 species